rnacentral:tRNA from 1 species
GCCUGGGUGGCUCAGUGGUUAAGUGUCUGUUUUGGGCUCAGGGUGUGAUGCUGGAGUCCUGGGAUCAAGUCCCAGAUCGGGCU